GAUGAAGAACGCAGCGAAAUGCGAUACGUAGUGUGAAUUGCAGAAUUCAGUGAAUCAUCGAAUCUUUGAACGCACAGUGCACCUCUCGGUAUUCCGGGAGGUAUGCCUGUUCGAGCGUCAUUUGUACCCUCAAGCUCUGCUUGGUGUUGGGUGUUUGUUCCGCCUCUGUGUGUGAACUCGCCUCAAAACAAUUGGCAGCCGGCGUACUUGUUUCGGAGCGCAGCACAUUUUGCGAUCCAGAUCAACGUACAGCGGCAUCCAAGAAGCCUUAUUUAACGCUCUUGACCUCGGAUCAGGUAGGGAUACCCGCUGAACUUAAGCAUAUCAAUAAGCGGAGGA
rnacentral:misc_RNA from 1 species